UAAAGGAAGCGAUUCCGGCUACGGAUGGUCAUGCGUCGCAUUAGCUAGUUGGCGGGGUAACGGCCCACCAAGGCGACGAUGCGUAGGGGUUCUGAGAGGAAGGUCCCCCACACUGGUACUGAGACACGGACCAGACUCCUACGGGAGGCAGCAGUGAGGAAUAUUGGUCAAUGGCCGCAGGGCUGAACCAGCCAAGUCGCGUGAGGGAUGACGGUCCUAUGGAUUGUAAACCUCUUUUGUCAGGGAGCAAAGGGCGCCACGUGUGGCGCUUUGCGAGUACCUGAAGAAAAAGCAUCGGCUAACUCCGUGCCAGCAGCCGCGGUAAUACGGAGGAUGCGAGCGUUAUCCGGAUUUAUUGGGUUUAAAGGGUGCGCAGGCGGAAUGUCAAGUCAGCGGUAAAAUUUCGGGGCUCAACCCCGUCGUGCCGUUGAGACUGGCGUUCUUGAGUGAGCGAGAAGUAUGCGGAAUGCGUGGUGUAGCGGUGAAAUGCAUAGAUAUCACGCAGAACUCCGAUUGCGAAGGCAGCAUACCGGCGCUCAACUGACGCUCAUGCACGAAAGCGUGGGUAUCGAACAGGAUUAGAUACCCUGGUAGUCCACGCAGUAAACGAUGAAUACUAACUGUCCGGGCAGAAUGAUGCCUGG
rnacentral:rRNA from 1 species